CCUACGGGUGGCAGCAGUGGGGAAUAUUGCACAAUGGGGGAAAGCCUGAUGCAGCGACGCCGCGUGAAGGAAGAAGUAUUUCGGUAUGUAAACUUCUAUCAGCAGGGAAGAAAAUGACGGUACCUGACUAAGAAGCCACGGCUAACUACGUGCCAGCAGCCGCGGUAAUACGUAGGGGGCAAGCGUUAUCCGGAUUUACUGGGUGGAAAGGGAGCGGAGGCGGUUUAGCAAGUCAGAAGUGAAAGACCGGGGCUCAACUCCGGGACUGCUUUGGAAACUGUUGAACUAGAGUGCAGGAGAGGUAAGUGGAAUUCCUAGUGUAGCGGUGAAAUGCGUAGAUAUUAGGAGGAACACCAGUGGCGAAGGCGGCUUACUGGACUGUAAAUGACGCUGAGGCUCGAAAGCGUGGGGAGCAAACAGGAUUAGAUACCCUAGUAGUC
rnacentral:rRNA from 1 species